UGUAUAAUGGGUCAGCGACUUAUAUUCUGUAGCAAGGUUAACCGAAUAGGGGAGCCGAAGGGAAACCGAGUCUUAACUGGGCGUUAAGUUGCAGGGUAUAGACCCGAAACCCGGUGAUCUAGCCAUGGGCAGGUUGAAGGUUGGGUAACACUAACUGGAGGACCGAACCGACUAAUGUUGAAAAAUUAGCGGAUGACUUGUGGCUGGGGGUGAAAGGCCAAUCAAACCGGGAGAUAGCUGGUUCUCCCCGAAAGCUAUUUAGGUAGCGCCUCGUGAAUUCAUCUCCGGGGGUAGAGCACUGUUUCGGCAAGGGGGUCAUCCCGACUUACCAACCCGAUGCAAACUGCGAAUACCGGAGAAUGUUAUCACGGGAGACACACGGCGGGUGCUAACGUCCGUCGUGAAGAGGGAAACAACCCAGACCGCCAGCUAAGGUCCCAAAGUCAUGGUUAAGUGGGAAACGAUGUGGGAAGGCCCAGACAGCCAGGAUGUUGGCUUAGAAGCAGCCAUCAUUUAAAGAAAGCGUAAUAGCUCACUGGUCGAGUCGGCCUGCGCGGAAGAUGUAACGGGGCUAAACCAUGCACCGAAGCUGCGGCAGCGACACUAUGUGUUGUUGGGUAGGGGAGCGUUCUGUAAGCCUGUGAAGGUGGCCUGUGAGGGUUGCUGGAGGUAUCAGAAGUGCGAAUGCUGACAUAAGUAACGAUAAAGCGGGUGAAAAGCCCGCUCGCCGGAAGACCAAGGGUUCCUGUCCAACGUUAAUCGGGGCAGGGUGAGUCGACCCCUAAGGCGAGGCCGAAAGGCGUAGUCGAUGGGAAACAGGUUAAUAUUCCUGUACUUGGUGUUACUGCGAAGGGGGGACGGAGAAGGCUAUGUUGGCCGGGCGACGGUUGUCCCGGUUUAAGCGUGUAGGCUGGUUUUCCAGGCAAAUCCGGAAAACCAAGGCUGAGGCGUGAUGACGAGGCACUACGGUGCUGAAGCGACAAAUGCCCUGCUUCCAGGAAAAGCCUCUAAGCAUCAGGUAACAUCAAAUCGUACCCCAAACCGACACAGGUGGUCAGGUAGAGAAUACCAAGGCGCUUGAGAGAACUCGGGUGAAGGAACUAGGCAAAAUGGUGCCGUAACUUCGGGAGAAGGCACGCUGAUAUGUAGGUGAAGCGACUUGCUCGUGGAGCUGAAAUCAGUCGAAGAUACCAGCUGGCUGCAACUGUUUAUUAAAAACACAGCACUGUGCAAACACGAAAGUGGACGUAUACGGUGUGACGCCUGCCCGGUGCCGGAAGGUUAAUUGAUGGGGUUAGCGGCAACGCGAAGCUCUUGAUCGAAGCCCCGGUAAACGGCGGCCGUAACUAUAACGGUCCUAAGGUAGCGAAAUUCCUUGUCGGGUAAGUUCCGACCUGCACGAAUGGCGUAAUGAUGGCCAGGCUGUCUCCACCCGAGACUCAGUGAAAUUGAACUCGCUGUGAAGAUGCAGUGUACCCGCGGCAAGACGGAAAGACCCCGUGAACCUUUACUAUAGCUUGACACUGAACAUUGAGCCUUGAUGUGUAGGAUAGGUGGGAGGCUUUGAAGUGUGGACGCCAGUCUGCAUGGAGCCGACCUUGAAAUACCACCCUUUAAUGUUUGAUGUUCUAACGUUGGCCCGUAAUCCGGGUUGCGGACAGUGUCUGGUGGGUAGUUUGACUGGGGCGGUCUCCUCCUAAAGAGUAACGGAGGAGCACGAAGGUUGGCUAAUCCUGGUCGGACAUCAGGAGGUUAGUGCAAUGGCAUAAGCCAGCUUGACUGCGAGCGUGACGGCGCGAGCAGGUGCGAAAGCAGGUCAUAGUGAUCCGGUGGUUCUGAAUGGAAGGGCCAUCGCUCAACGGAUAAAAGGUACUCCGGGGAUAACAGGCUGAUACCGCCCAAGAGUUCAUAUCGACGGCGGUGUUUGGCACCUCGAUGUCGGCUCAUCACAUCCUGGGGCUGAAGUAGGUCCCAAGGGUAUGGCUGUUCGCCAUUUAAAGUGGUACGCGAGCUGGGUUUAGAACGUCGUGAGACAGUUCGGUCCCUAUCUGCCGUGGGCGCUGGAGAACUGAGGGGGGCUGCUCCUAGUACGAGAGGACCGGAGUGGACGCAUCACUGGUGUUCGGGUUGUCAUGCCAAUGGCACUGCCCGGUAGCUAAAUGCGGAAGAGAUAAGUGCUGAAAGCAUCUAAGCACGAAACUUGCCCCGAGAUGAGUUCUCCCUGAGACUUAGAGUCUCCUGAAGGAACGUUGAAGACGACGACGUUGAUAGGCCGGGUGUGUAAGCGCAGCGAUGCGUUGAGCUAACCGGUACUAAUGAACCGUGAGGCUUAACCUUACAACGCCGAAG
rnacentral:rRNA from 1 species